rnacentral:rRNA from 1 species
UACGUAGGGGGCAAGCGUUGUCCGGAUUUAUUGGGCGUAAAGAGCGUGUAGGCGGCUUGGAAGGUCAGCUGUGAAAACUCGAGGCUCAACCUCGAGACGUCGGUUGAAACCACCUGGCUAGAGUCCGGAAGAGGAGUGUGGAAUUCCCGGUGUAGCGGUGAAAUGCGUAGAUAUCUGCAGGAACACCCGUGGCGAAAGCGGCGCGCUGGACCACUACUGACGCUGAGGAACGAAAGCUAGGGGAGCAAACAGG